rnacentral:rRNA from 1 species
UACGUAGGGGGGCAAGCGUUGUCCGGAAUCAUUGGGCGUAAAGAGCGUGUAGGCGGCCCGAUAAGUCCGCUGUGAAAGUCCAGGGCUCAACCCUGGAAUGCCGGUGGAUACUGUCGGGCUCGAAUCCGGAAGAGGUGAGUGGAAUUCCUGGUGUAGCGGUGAAAUGCGCAGAUAUCAGGAAGAACACCCGUGGCUAAGGCGGCUGCUCUAGUACGGUACUGACGCUGAGACGCGAAAGCGUGGGGAGCGAACAGG